rnacentral:rRNA from 1 species
GACAGAGGUCCCGAGCGUUAGGCGGAAUCACUGGGCUUAAAGCGUGUGUAGGCGGAUCGUUAAGUGCCUUGUGAAAUCCCACGGCUUAACCGUGGAACUGCUUGGCAUACUGGCGGUCUUGAGCCACUUAGGGGCAACCGGAACAAACGGUGGAGCGGUGAAAUGCGUAGAUAUCGUUUGGAACGCCAAUGGUGAAAACAGGUAGCUGGGAGUGUGCCGACGCUGAGACACGAAAGCCAGGGGAGCGAACGGG